rnacentral:misc_RNA from 1 species
GCAAACUUGGUCAUUUAGAGGAAGUAAAAGUCGUAACAAGGUUUCCGUAGGUGAACCUGCGGAAGGAUCAUUAGCCAUUGGUGGGGGAGACUAUUCUCCUGCAUGUUAUGUAUGGGGGAGACUAUUCUCCUGCAUGUUAUGUAUGGGGGAGACUAUUCUCCUGCAUGUUAUGUAUGGGGGAGACUAUUCUCCUGCAUGUGUAAUCACACACAUUUACGCUUGCGUGUCUUGACAGGUUGAUAGUGAUGAUAUACCAUUACUUUUAUUGCUUUUAUUGCUUUUAACAAUGGAUCUCUGGGCUCCUGCAUCGAUGAAGAACGCAGC